rnacentral:rRNA from 1 species
AGUUUGAGCUAAAUAUAUUUUUAUAUUAGUAAUUUUAAAUAUAUAGAUGUUGUAUAAUCUAUUUAAAAGGUGUAUUUAGGGGUGAUAGGCUUUUCAAAAUCUAAGAUAUCUUGAAUCUAAUUAAAAGUAUUUAGUACAUAAACAACUAUAAAGUGAUUAGGCUUUAUAGAAUUAUUAAAAUAUAUUUAAUAUUUAUUUACUAUAUUUUAAUAAUUAGUAUAAAAAUAUGUUAAUAUUCGUUUAUUUUAAGUUUAUAUGUUUUAAUAAUUAGAUAAAUUUAAAGAAUCAUAGUAUGUUUAAAUAAUGUUAAUAUUAGUAUUAGACACUUAUAUUUAUAUAAUGAACUCGGCAAAUAUACUUCUCAACUGUUUAUCAAAAACAUAACUAUGUGAAUGAAUACAUAGCAGUUUCUGCUCAAUGAUUUCUUAUUAAAUAGCCGCAGUAUACUGACUGUGCAAAGGUAGCAUAAUCAAUUGACUUAUAAUUGAAGUCUAGAAUGAAAGAAAAUAUUGGGAAGCUUCUAUAUAAUAUAAACAAAUAAAAUUUAAUUAUGAAGUGCAAAUACUUCUAAAUAAAUAUUAGACGAGAAGACCCUAGAAAUUUUAGUAAAUUAUUUUUAAUUAUAGAAUUUUUUUGUUGGGGCGACAAAGUAACAAAAAUAAACUUACUUAAAUUAUUAUUUGAACCUUUUAUGUUGUAUAAACAAAUUACUCUAGGGAUAACAGCAUAAUAUUUAAAAGUUUAUGACCUCGAUGUUGGAUUAGGAAUUAAAUAACUUAAAAGGUUUUUUAAAUUGCUCUGUUCGAGCAUUUACUCCUACAUGAUC